UACGGAGGGGGCUAGCGUUGUUCGGAAUUACUGGGCGUAAAGCGCGCGUAGGCGGCUUUGUAAGUUAGAGGUGAAAGCCCGGAGCUCAACUCCGGAAUUGCCUUUAAGACUGCAUCGCUAGAAUCAUGGAGAGGUUAGUGGAAUUCCGAGUGUAGAGGUGAAAUUCGUAGAUAUUCGGAAGAACACCAGUGGCGAAGGCGACUAACUGGACAUGUAUUGACGCUGAGGUGCGAAAGCGUGGGGAGCGAACAGG
rnacentral:rRNA from 1 species